CGGGGUGCAGCAGGCGCGAAAACUUUACAAUGCGGGAAACCGCGAUAAGGGGACCCCGAGUGCCAGCACCUAGUGCUGGCUGUCCAGCUGUUCAAAUAACAGUUGUUAGCAAGGGCCGGGCAAGACCGGUGCCAGCCGCCGCGGUAACACCGGCGGCCCGAGUGGUAGCCGUUAUUAUUGGGUUUAAAGGGUCCGUAGCCGGCCUAUUAAGUCUCUUGGGAAAUCUGGCGACUUAAUCGUCAGCCGUCCAAGAGAUACUGGUAGGCUUGGGACCGGGAGAGGUGGGAGGUACUCCAGGGGUAGGGGUGAAAUCUCGUAAUCCUUGGGGGACCACCGAUGGCGAAGGCAUCCCACCAGAACGGGUCCGACGGUGAGGGACGAAAGCUGGGGGCACGAACCGGAUUAGAUACCCGGGUAGUCCCAGCCGUAAACGAUGCUCGCUAGGUGUCAGGUGCGGUGCGACCGCAUCUGGUGCCGCAGUGAAAACUUGAAGCGAGUCACCUGGGAAGUACGGUCGCAAGGCUGAAACUUAAAGGAAUUGGC
rnacentral:rRNA from 1 species